rnacentral:pre_miRNA from 1 species
AAAGUACUCCCUCCGUCCGGAAAUACUUGUCAUCAAAAUGGAUAAAAGGGGAUGUAUCUAGACAUAUUUUAGUUCUAGAUAUAUCUCUUUUUAUCCAUUUUGAUGACAAGUAUUUUCGGACGGAGGGAGUAGUAC